rnacentral:rRNA from 1 species
AGCGAACGCUGGCGGUAGGCCUAACACAUGCAAGUCGAACGGCAGCACCGUAGGUGCUUGCUCUUACGGGUGGCGAGUGGCGGACGGGUGAGGUAUACAUCGGAAUCUACAUUUAAGUGGGGGCUAACGCCGGAAAAGUUACGCUAAUACCACAUACGACCUCUGGAUGAAAGCAGGGGAUCUUCGGGCCUGGCGCGAUAGAAUGUGCCGAUGUCGGAGUAGCUUGUUGGCGGGGUCAAGGCCCACCAAGACGGAGAUCGGAACCUGGUCCGAGAGGAUGGACAACUACACUGGCAGUGAGACACGGUCCAGACACCUAGGGGAGGCCGCAGUGGGAAAUACUGGACGAUGGGCGAAAGCCUGAUCCUGCGCAAUCGCGGGAAUGAUGAAGGACCUCGGGUUGGAAAACCCUUUUGUUGGGAAAGAAGAGCAGCAGUUUAAUACCGCACUGUACUGACGGUACCCAAAGAAUAAGCACCGGCUAACUUCGUG